rnacentral:rRNA from 1 species
CGGGACGGGUGAGUAACGCGUGGGUGACCUGCCCCAUACCGGGGGAUAACAGCUGGAAACGGCUGCUAAUACCGCAUAAGCGCACAGAGCUGCAUGGCUCGGUGUGAAAAACUCCGGUGGUAUGGGAUGGGCCCGCGUCUGAUUAGGCAGUUGGCGGGGUAACGGCCCACCAAACCGACGAUCAGUAGCCGGCCUGAGAGGGCGACCGGCCACAUUGGGACUGAGACACGGCCCAA